rnacentral:rRNA from 1 species
UACGGAGGGUGCUAGCGUUGUUCGGAAUUACUGGGCGUAAAGCGCACGCAGGCGGUCUGCUAAGUUUGGAGUGACAGUUGGUGGCUUAACUGCCAAAGUGCUUCGAAAACUGACAGACUUGAGGGCUUCAGAGGGACACGGAAUUCCGGGUGGAGUGGUGAAAUGCGUAGAGAUCCGGAGGAACACCAAAGGCGAAGGCAGUGUCCUGGGGAGUACCUGACGCUCAGGUGCGAAAGCCAGGGGAGCGAACGGG